rnacentral:lncRNA from 1 species
CAGCUCUCUCUGCUUGACUGACAUCCCUCCUAGAACCUGUAUCUGCAGCGUUUGUCCAAUCCAGGAAAUUAUGUCUAGAAAACAGCACCUUCCAGCCUGCCUUCUUCACCUGGUGGAAUUAACUGAUCUCUCUUAGCCCUCUUGUCACCAUGAAGUAAUAAGCUUGAUAAGGCACUCACUGAGGAUGACUAAGAAGAAAUUCAAGAGGAAAUCAUUGUCUCUUGAAGAUUCCUGGACCUGUGAAUCUUGGUUAUGGGAGGAAAAGCAUCACAUACUGGACUUUGAUGAAGAGAAUGCACAGCCUUCCAGAGAAGGCAAUACCUUGCCCCAGCCCUGCAAGGUAUUCCUACCCAUCUGGAACUGUGAUGGAGUCUUCAAAAUGCCAUUGCAUUGUUCUACCAAGCCAGCGGCUUCAGGAUGAUGGCUAAUAUAGUAAGACCAGUAAAAUCCACGACCAAGGGCCCAUUGCUGCACUUCUUUCACUCUGAAGGAACUCUUCAUGAGGCCAUAGACACUGGCUGGGAGAAAGAAGGUGGGUAGCGAGAGUGAAGACGACGUUCGUGCCACUUUUUCAUGUCAUUUAUGCACAUGCCUUCAGGUCCUGAUGAAGCCCAAUCUUGAAUAUAACACCACUCCCAUUCGAUAAUGGAAUGUGGCUGUGCAUGCCCAACAUUAUAGCAUGUAAGAGACACACCUGAAAAUAGGACCCCCAAAAGAUAAAGAGAUGGAUAAAAUGUAUCAGUUGAGUCUGACAAAAAGAAAGGCAAUUGUAGCAAUAACACCAGAAAACACAAAAUUCAAUGUCAAAUAUAUUAUAUGGGAUACAAAUGUAGGUUUCCCAAUUCAGUGACAGCAGCUCCCACUAUAAGUUCUUGCCUAGUGAGAGAGUGACCCCAGAACUCUUCAAGGUUGGUAGGGCUCUCCUCACACAUUUAUUUCUCACAGAUAUGGAAAAAAGUGUUCCAGGGUGGAUGCGCAGAUCUGAAAUGAUAAAUUCACGCCAACUCUUCUUUCUCCAUAAGCUUGUCAAUCCCUUCCUCUAGAGUAACCAGGGUAGUUCUGGCAUUUCAAGUUCGUUUACUGUGGGUAACCUUUUUGGUCCAUGUUUCAGCCAUCCAAGCAAACAAAUGAGCUUCUUCUGACUCCCCAAACUGCAACAUUAAAUGAAGAAUCUCUGCUUAGUGGUCCCAUAUCAAUAAAUUUGGCCUGAUCCAAUCUUAUAUUCUUCCACCAUUAUCCCACAUCCUUAACGACCAUUCCUACACGUAUUUCCCAGAUUUGGCUGUAUAAAUUGGAAAAAUCAAGUAGUCCUUUUGGAGUAUAGUAUAUCUCUUCAUAGGUCACAUCUUGUGCCUUACCUUCAGGGGCCUGCUAGGACUUGAGUCUAGUAUAAGUCCAGAAGCAAAGAGGAACGGUGGGAUUGUGGAUUUGUAGGAAAAAGAAAGAGCGAUCAGACUGUUACUGUGUCUAUGUAGAAAGGGAAGACAUAAGAGACUCCAUUUUGAAAAAGACCUGUACUUUAAACAAUUGCUUUGCUGAGAUGUUGUUAAUUUGUAGCUUUGCCCCAGCCACUUUGACCCAACCACUUUGAUCCAACCUGGAGCUCACAAAAACAUGUGUUGUAUGAAAUCAAGGUUUAAGGGAUCUAGGGCUGUGCAGGACAGGCCUCGUUAACAAAAUGUUUACAAGCAGUAUACUUGGUAAAAGUCAUCGUUAUUCUCUAGUCUCAAUAAACCAGGGGCACAAUGCACUGUGGAAAGCCGCAAGGACCUCUGCCCUUGAAAGCUGGGUAUUGUCCAAGGUUUCUCCCCAUGUGAUAGUCUGAAAUACGGCCUCGUGGGAUGAGAAAGACCUGACCGUCCCCCAGCCUGACACCCGUAAAGGGUCUGUGCUGAGGUGGAUUAGUAAAAGAGGAAAGCCUCUUGCAGUUGAGAUAGAGGAAGGCCACUGUCUCCUGCCUGCCUCUGGGAACUAAAUGUCUUGGUAUAAAACCCGAUUGUACAUUUGUUCAAUUCUGAGAUAGGAGAAAAACCGCCCUAUGGUGGGAGGUGAGACAUGUUUACAGCAAUGCUGCCUUGUUAUUCUUUACUCCACUGAGAUGUUUGGGUGGAGAGAAACAUAAAUCUGGCCUACGUGCACAUCCAGGCAUAGUACCUUCCCUUAAACUUAAUUAUGACAUAGAUUCUAUUGCUCACAUGUUUGUUGCUGACCUUCUCAUUAUCACCCUGCCCUCCUACUACAUUCCUUUUUGCUAAAAUAAUGAAAAUAAUAAUCAAUAAAAGCUGAGGGAACUCAGAGACCAGUGCUGG